UAGGUCCUGUAGGGUGACCAUGAUUGUUGAGAAUUAAAUUUGCCCUCACCAAAAAGUAAAAACAUAGGAAAAAGUGUUGUUGUUUCUCCUAAAUACGACGGUGAUCGAUCAAUUAUCAGUUACUGAGUGUGCAGGAUUAGUCCUGCUCACGUCUCAUGAAUCAUCCUGUAUAUAAGUUUAUUACAUGCAAAUGAGGUUGAGUACCUACUCGCAAGUUAAAGGGUAACACGUGUCAUUACAUCCAUUUCUAAGAAUACAGCUGGAAACUAAUCAUUUUUUUUUUCUAUAUUUUGAUUUGUGUUUUUAAGUACAAAACAAUACCAGCCUAUUUAAAUAUAUCAAAUACAAAUAUGUAGAUAUGUAUUAUGAUGAUAAUGUAAAAUUGUUUUAAAUGUUAAUAAUGUUGGUGAUGUUUUUGUUUAAAUGACGCACUUCAUAAACUCGUUAUACGCGUGUAUGAAUAGUAGGGUAAAUUACUCAAUAAUUGGCCCUUUAAAGUACAGUCGUAGGCCGUUUAAGGGGCCAAUCCUUUGGGGCUUAAACAAGUUACUCAAUGUCACUAAUGAUCAGACAUCGUAAAUUUUAUAGCAUUUUCGGUGCAGCGGAGUGGUGUUAACGGAAUUGGUAUAAACAAUUUCAAGCCUAAUGAUUAAUUAGCGUUAAUUACGUUAAUAUUAACCUUAAUUUAUCAUUUCAGUUGGAAUUAUCUAUACCAAUUCCGUUAACACCACUCCGCUGCACCAAAAAUGCUAUAAAAUUAACGAUGUCUGCUAAUAAUAGGUAUAAUGUUAUGUAUAUUUUGUUUGUGAUACAAUUGAUUGUUAAGGGAAAAUGAAGUAUAUAAUAUGACUUGUUUAA